UACGUAGGGUGCAAGCGUUAAUCGGAAUUACUGGGCGUAAAGCGUGCGCAGGCGGUUAUGCAAGACAGAUGUGAAAUCCCCGGGCUCAACCUGGGAACUGCAUUUGUGACUGCAUGACUCGAGUACGGCAGAGGGGGAUGGAAUUCCGCGUGUAGCAGUGAAAUGCGUAGAUAUGCGGAGGAACACCGAUGGCGAAGGCAAUCCCCUGGGCCUGUACUGACGCUCAUGCACGAAAGCGUGGGGAGCAAACAGG
rnacentral:rRNA from 1 species